rnacentral:lncRNA from 1 species
AUGGUCGUUGAAGAGUGAUUAAGAUUAUGCUGAGUCUAGGAAUCAGGUGCUAUGGAAAAUAAUGCUGAGAAGACGACUGGCAUGCUGGGCUGCAAAUCAUUUGGAAAAGCACACGAGCACCACCACUGCGUUUAGCCAAUCGAACUGAACGCUGAAAUAGAAGCUCUGACAGACAACACAUCUGGAAGAAGAGCACGUCUCUACCUUUCUAUGUGUAGACCGUCAACAGUAAAGUACUGGAGACUAUGAAACUGCAGUUUGUUGCUGCAAAUUUAUUAUCCCACCUCCAACAGGACUUCGAUUCCGUAAAGUAAUGACUGGUGUGAAAAAUGCAGUUGUGAUUCGUGCUAAGAUGUUUAAUGUUUACAGGUAUAACCAAA